rnacentral:tRNA from 1 species
GGGGGUGUAGCUCAAGUGGUAGAGCACAUGCUUAGCAGGUUCGAGGUCCUAGGUUCAAUCCCCAGCACCUCCU